rnacentral:rRNA from 1 species
UGCCAGCCGCCGCGGUAAUACGGAGGGUGCGAGCGUUAAUCGGAAUUACUGGGCGUAAAGCGCGCGUAGGUGGUUAUUUAAGCCAGAUGUGAAAUCCCCGGGCUCAACCUGGGAAUUGCAUUCGGAACUGGGUAGCUAGAGUACAGGAGAGGGUGGUGGAAUUUCCAGUGUAGCGGUGAAAUGCGUAGAGAUUGGAAGGAACAUCAGUGGCGAAGGCGGCCACCUGGACUGAUACUGACGCUGAGGUGCGAAAGCGUGGGGAGCAAACAGGAUUAGAUA